CCUCUCCUCUUCAUUCAGCAAAGUCCUUCCCCAGUGGACCUGGCUCCCUUCCUAUCUUCCCCUUUAUGCCUCACCUCCAGGCCCGAAAGACCAAAGCAACACCAGCACCUGGCCUCAGAGGAGCAGAAGACAAUGAAGAAGGGCAGGGUGUGGGGAAGGCCAGGGAGGGAGAGGGACUUAACAUCAGGAGCAAGGUGCAUGGUGGGGACAUGGAAGAAGAAACUGGGGAGCACUGCAAGGAGGAGCCCCCCCCCCGCCGAGCACAGAGAUUAGAUAAGGGACAGCACCUUGGAGAAGAGAGAAGGAGAGGGGUCCUCAGGAGCUGCUCUUGGGGAACUGGAUGGAACAACAGUAGACAGAGCUACAGAUGAAGAAGGAGAAGGGAAGGACCAGAAAGGGGCAGAAAGCCUGGAGACAGCAGGGCAGGAAGGACGGCAACUGGAGGACGACAAGAGGAGGCAGAGUCUUCCCAGAGCAGAAUCUCCUGAGCCUUAGAGGAACAGAGGUCCCUUCCCCUCUGGGAGUAGUCCCCAUGUCACAGAUGGAGAGACUGAGGCAAUAAAUGAAGAAAGGCCGUCCUGAAGGUCGUGACUCCUAGUGUCUCCCUCACCAGGCAGCUGCACACCGGGCCAGGAUGCUCAGAGGCCUGGCUCUGCCUCUCCACCUUGGUCACGUCUUCCCUGCUCCCUCUCUUCAGGCCCUGGCCCCGUUGGGCCCCCAGGGCUUCCCAGGGCUCUUAUUCCCAGGGACCUCUCCAUUGGGUCCCUGCCUGACCUUGUGCCCACAGGUCCCCAAGAACACCAACCACACAGAAGGCCCAAAAAGCCACACAGAAGAGCAGCCCCAGGAGAAAAGGAAGGGCAAGAAACGGCACAACCACCAUCCUCAGAACUUGAGCAGCAGGGGCGACAGAGGCAGGACACACGGUCUACCAGAGCUGGCCUCCAGUGCCCUUUGA
rnacentral:lncRNA from 1 species